AUGCACCCGUCCGUACACUCCGGUUCUGAGCGCCGCCCGCACCAUCUUGACGACCGCUCGCUACGAGUUGUCAGCG
rnacentral:sRNA from 2 species